rnacentral:rRNA from 1 species
GAUCCUGGCUCAGGAUGAACGCUGGCGGCGUGCUUAACACAUGCAAGUCGAACGAAGCACUUUAUUUGAUUUCCUCCGGGACUGAUUAUUUUGUGACUGAGUGGCGGACGGGUGAGUAACGCGUGGGUAACCUGCCUUGUACAGGGGGAUAACAGUUGGAAACGGCUGCUAAUACCGCAUAAGCGCACAGUAUCGCAUGAUGCAGUGUGAAAAACUCCGGUGGUAUAAGAUGGACCCGCG